rnacentral:rRNA from 1 species
GGAGUUAGCCGGUGCUUCUUCUGUGAGUGAUGUCCUUCCUGCCGGCUAUUAACCCGCAGGCCUUCUUCCUCACUGAAAGUGCUUUACAACCCGAAGGCCUUCUUCACACACGCGGCAUGGCUGGAUCAGGGUUGCCCCCAUUGUCCAAUAUUCCCCACUGCUGCCUCCCGUAGGAGUCUGGGCCGUGUCUCAGUCCCAGUGUGGCUGAUCAUCCUCUCAGACCAGCUACGGAUCGUCGCCUUGGUGAGCCGUUACCUCACCAACCAGCUAAUCCGACAUAGGCUCAUCCGAUAGCGCGAGGCCCGAAGGUCCCCCGCUUUCCCCCGUAGGGCGUAUGCGGUAUUAGCCUGGGUUUCCCCAGGUUAUCCCCCACUACCGGGCAGAUUCCUAUGCAUUACUCACCCGUCCGCCGAUCGCCACCAGGGAGCAAGCUCCCCGUGCUGCCGCUCGACUUGCAUGUGUUAGGCCUGCCGCCAGCGUUCAAUCUGAGCCAGNGACACACUCGACAGUAGCGGCGGCGUCGACGACGGCGACAG